GUCACCUGGGCUUUCCAGGGGGCUCUCUGUCUCUUUCCAGAUCCCUCCAUUCAGCCGUUUCGGUUAAUAUCACACCCAGUUGUUGGGCUCCGCUAAUUGUUGGCUGCCUGGUCUGCUGUUUUCAGCAAUGCCCAUAAACUGCUGCACAGUCUUCUGGCUACUGCUCAGCUUUGAGGCCAGUCACUGAGGUUUGUUCUUACGCCAGGAGGCUCUUCUUAGUAGUCUCUUUCCUUGGUUCUCCCUGGUGAACUGACUUGGUUUAGGUUUUUGCUCUUAAUUAAUAGAAGAGCUGUCUUUUUUUUUUUUCCCCCAAGAGAACCCUGAGGCUUGAAUGUCUGUUUCAAAUGAGGUCAUUUCCUUUGUGCAGAACUUUGCAGCCCUCUGUGAACUGCCUUUCUCCUGGGAAGAAUCUUUGGGCCACUGCUCUGCAGUGGUAGCCUCUGCUUUUCGUGACUUGCUUCUCUUGGAACUGAAAGGAGAGGGAGCCCCAUCUUCUUGGCCAUACCCACCCCACAUGGAGUCUGUCAAGUGGAGCUGGGGGUUGGUUGGGAUGUUAUGCAGGCUGUGGUGAUGCAUUGAGCUGUUACAUCUCCCUGGUUUUACAGACUUUGUCGUUUAUUCUCAGGAGAAACUUGGUUAAGCACGGUCAGUUGUAUAAACCUAAACAAAGUUCUAGCUUCUCUGAGCCUCAGGUUUCUGCUGUAAAAUUAAAAAAAAAAAUUUUGGGGGGGGCAAGAUCCAAUAAACUCUUGAUACGAA
ensembl:lncRNA